rnacentral:rRNA from 1 species
GAUGAACGCUGGCGGCGUGCUUAACACAUGCAAGUCGAACGAAGCACUUUAUUUUUUUUCCUUCGGUCCUGUUUAUUUUGUGUCUGAGUGGCGUACGUGUUAGUAACUCGUCUUUAACCUGCCUUUUACAGGGGGAUAAUAGUUCCAGACGGCUGCUAAUACCGCAUAAGCUCCCGGCAUCUCUUUAUGCUGUGUGAAAAACUCCGGUGGUAUCAGAUUGUCCGGCGUUGGAUUAGCUAGUUGGUGAGGUAACGGCCCACCACGGCGACGAUCCAUAGGCGAGGGGAGAGGGUGACAGGAGACAUUGGAAAUGGGACACAGCCCAAACUGAGACGGGAGGGAGGAGUAGGGAAUAUUGCAAAAUGGGCGGAAGCAUGAUGGAGCGACGGGGGGUGAGCGAAGAAGUAUUUAGGGAUGUAAAGGUCAAGGAGGAGGGAAGAUAAUGACGGUACCUGAAGAAGAAGCACCGGCUAAAUACGUG